UGAGUUUUGCAUGCUUGGAGCUUGCAAUGCUGUUGAUAUUCCUAAUGUGUUGUUUUGAUUUGGAUGUCAUAUGGUACACAUCAGUUUCCUGACUGCACGAUCAUAACUCGUAGAAUCAGGUUCUCAGAUGUUUACAGAUCAAAAGUAGACAUUUAGCAUUAGUCAGUGAAAUAAUGUUUGUGCUUAUAUAGUAGUAUUAAGGCUUCUCCCUUUAGUGGGCUGCAGCCAUUCAAGGGCAAUGUGAUCCCGCAGGAAUAGACCUGAUAUCGAUCCAGUACUGAGCAGUUGUUACAUACACACCUUUUGGGAAGGCAUGUACACACAUGUAAUAUACCAUGCUGUAGAUGACCCAAUAAAGUGUGAAUCAGCACAGAGAUGAGCAAGGCUUUUGGCUAGGAGAUAGGUAGAGUACAGGGCAAUCUGAACUCACAGCCAGCCUGCUACCUCCCUGGGGGGUGAGACUGCCAUCUGUGUGAUUUGUUAGCCCUGUCUUACAGUAAUACAGUUACAAAGGCCAUUAAAGUAGGACUCAAAUCCAGGUCUCUUACUGGCCAGAGUACUCCAUUAUCAGGUACAUUACUGGGACUGGAUAAUGUAUUGGCUAAUGUGUAUGAGAGCACCACUGUGCCCUCAGAUGACAGAAUGUCAGACCUUAUCUGAUUUGUGGUAUCAUGGUGGCCCCCUGUAUUGUCAGGCCCACCAAAGCUGACAUGGCUACUGCUAGAUGUAAGAGUUUCUUCAGGUAGACACUCUUCAUAAAUACUUUUUCCCAGCAUAGUUCUGUAUAUAGCUCCUACCGGGAAUAUGUGUCUGAGCUUUAUUACACAAGGAUUGAUUGAGCAAAUCUCUGGAUGGGGGGCUCUCUAGGAUAUAAAUCUGUGUUUAGCAGCACACAGUAACUUUCAAUUUCCCUUGACCUUACAAGAGAGAAUUUAAAAAUUCAUGCUUGUUUGUCCCCUGCCACUAGAUCUAACCUGCAAUAUACAGCAUGAUACCUGCUCCUUCUGCUGUGCCAUUGCUACCUCAUUACUACUCAACCUAUACUUUACUCCCUUACCUUGCAGUACAGGAAUACUACAUACAGUCUGACUUCACGCCGUACAGUACAUACCAUCCCCAUUUAUCUCAACAGGAAAUGAAGCUUUUAUUCCUGUAGCAUAAAGCACACCAGGUAUCUGGUGUAUGACUGGGUAGAAGUAGGUUGUGAAUUAUUAACCUUUUAGAAAUAUGGCUCUAUCAAAAUUGUGUUUAAAAAUACUCCUAUGCAGUCAUUUUAUUUGGCAUCUUCGGGACAUUUCCAGUGCUCAAAAAGCUAGUCAAUGUUCUGGCCCAUGUCAGCUAAAUCCAUGGUUUUCCUUUAGCAUUUCUGACAUCUGUGAUGGAAAAAGCUCUAACAUACAUUACAAAGUGUUAUGCCAGGGGGCUAAAUGGCUCAGGAGGCUGAUAAUAGGAUAAGGAGCCUUUCACUUUUAGGUCACCGGUUUAAAUCCCACCCUAGCUGGCAGUCACCAGCAGUUGCUACCAUCUGGUGGCUGUUUGGUGAUCUGUGUGACAUGAGUUGGUGAAUCAUAAUUGUUGUGUGAGAGGCGUUGGUGGACAGCUGUCAUCACUAAAACCACCACUAGAAUUGGCACCCUUUUAGGCAGUCUCAACAGAGACGCCAAAGACUGAAUGAGCAAUGAGAAAAGAGACUCCUCUUUUCCUCCCAGAGGUGGUCCCGUCAGAAAAGGCUUAGAUAUAUGCUGGUUAGUGUGGGACAUUACCAUGGUCUGUGCUGUAUCUGAUAGAAGACUUCAGCUUCUGGGUCUGUGAAAUGAGCAGUUUUACAUUCACACUCUACAAAGAUUCUUCCUGAUAUGAAGAGCCGAUCAUUAACCUUAAAAGGACACAUGCAUAAGGAACAACAUCUGGAGAGACUGUACCUACCUGAGGCACAAUUUGCUCUUGGUGCAACUCUGAAUAGAGUCUUCCUCAGUGCUUUAGCAUAAAAGUCAUGCUCUCAGGGAAUCUCCAGAGUUUUUCAUUAAGAAUCUGUACAGCUAUCAAGCAGCCAAGGCACUACAUUUAAUAGCCAUCUGGCGAUGACUGACGCUUUCUUAGGUAGAGUCUUUCCCUAAUUAAUCUCUCAGUGCCCUGCAGGGAGUGGAUGUCAGAAGGAUAGAUACUGCACUUGGAUUUUAAAAAGAUGUGGCUAAUUUUAUGAUCUCAGGUGAGGCUAUGCAGGCUGCUGUAAUAAGAUGUCAUCAGGCUGAUUAAACUUCAUGCUUUGUGAUGUGCGCUGAGUUGCUGACCACCUGUGGCAAAGGGUCACCCCUGUUCCUACUUCAGCAGAAGCAUACAAUAAGUCAGGCCAUCCUUCAAGAAAGCCAAGUCCAGCGAUUCCUUUUCAGCAACAAUUAAUAGGCAAACAAAGGACAUGUCUGACUCCAAGGAGAUGUUAUUAUUCCAGUGCACGCUUCUAAUCUCAGGAUGAGUCAUUUCAGAGAAAGGGAAAGGAAAUCCACCAUGAAGAUGAAGAGCCUAAGGCACUGCUGCAGAACAUUGUACUGGCUUUGGACUAGUGGAACUGUGCCUGUGAUGAAUCUUGUCAAGCCCAAACUAGAGUGGCUAAUAAGAAAUCACACCACUUUACUCUUCCCAUCUACCUCUCCUAUUCCACAUAGCCCAGCUGUAAAAGCCAGACUGGGCAGGAGGGUUGGGAAAGGGGGAAGUCAGACUGUGCAUCUGCUGGGCUGUACUAGAUUUUUAAAAUGUAUCCUGAAACUAAAGACAGAGAUUUGAUAAUCCUUGUCUAAGGGUGAAUUUUCCUUGGCUGGCCUGGGAUUUUUGUGGGGAAGUCAUUCCUCCCUUCACUGAAACUGUUCACUGCAAAGGAGAGAGACAAAGAUCCCUACACAGGGUGACUUCUACAACAUUUGCUAGGGGGAGGAUGCAUAUGCUCCCUGCUAAUCGUAAAGGGAUUAAUUUGCAGGCCUCAAUCCCUGCACACCAUGCCGAACAUUGCCCACAGUAAGUCCUCCCACGAAAGCCUUCUGUGACACUGCAGCCCAUAUUCUUCAGUCAUAUUAUUCUGAUAUGAUUAUGACAUAGUUAUGAUGUAUUUUAUGCAAGAUAAGUCAUGUGACAUGUCACUGAAAAGGUUAUGAUUUACUGAAUAUGAUUAUCCUAUUUGCAU